ACAACACUCAUUGACACAUUCUGAAGUACCAUAGUGGUAACAGAAAAUUUCUUGAAUUCUUUAUUUUGGAAAUUCGAAUACGUGCCAUGAAUAUUUUUAACAUUCGGUUUACUCCUUGCAGAAAAAUCAAGCAGCAGUUUCUGUAGUGUAGUGGUUAUCACGUUCGCUUUACACGUGAAAGGUCCUCAGUUUGAAACCAGGAGGAAACACUGCUCUUUGACAUGUGCAGUAGGUACUGUACUAUUAACAGAGAAUAGUUAUUUUCAUAAAUGCCUAAUUUUGGAAAUUUGAACACGUGCCAUGAAUAUCUGUAAAAUUCGAUUUACUCCUUGCAGAUAAUCUUUGAAGAAGUUUCUGUAGUGUUGUGGUUAUCACGUUCGCUGAACACGCGAAAGGUCCUCGGUUCGAAACCGGGCGGAAACAGUGCUCUUUGACAAGUGCAGUAGGUACUGUACUUUCAACAAAGAAUUGUUAUUUUCAUGAAUUCUGUAUUUUGGAAAUUCGAAUACGUGCCAUGAAUAUUUUUAAAAUUCGGUUUACUCCUUGCAGCUAAUUGUAGCAGUAGUUUCUGUGGUGUAGUGCUUAUCACGUUUGCUUCACACGCGAAAGGUCCCAGGUUCGAAACCGGGCGGAAACAACACUCAUUGACACAUUCUGAAGUACCAUAGUGGUAACAGAAAAUUUCAUGAAUUCUUUAUUUUGGAAAUUCGAAUACGUGCCAUGAAUAUUUUUAAAAUUCGGUUUACUCCUUGCAGAAAAAUCAAGCAGCAGUUUCUGUAGUGUAGUGGUUAUCACGUUAGCUUUACACGUGAAAGGUCCUCAGUUUGAAACCAGGAGGAAACACUGCUCUUUGACAUGUGCAGUAGGUACUGUACUAUUAACAGAGAAUAGUUAUUUUCAUAAAUGCCUACUUUUGGAAAUUUGAACACGUGCCAUGAAUAUCUGUAAAAUUCGGUUUACUCCUUGCAGCUGAAUGUAGCAGCAGUGUCUGUAGUGUAGUGGUUAUCAAGUUCGCUUUACACGUGAAAGGUCCUCGGGUUGAAACCGGGCGGAAACAGAGCUCUUUGACACGUGCAGUAGGUACUGUACUUUCAACAAAGAAUUGUUAUUUUCAUGAAUUCUGUAUUUUGGAAAUUCGAAUACGUGCCAUGAAUAUCUGUAAAAUUCGGUUUAUUCCUCGCAGCUAAAUGUAGCAGCAGUUUCUGUAGUGUAGUGGUUAUCACGUUUGCUUCACACGCGAAAGGUCCCUGGUUUGAAACCGGGC
rnacentral:lncRNA from 1 species